GCCUUCGUGGUGUAAUGGUGAACACAUUCGGAGCGUAUUCAAGAGGUCCGAGGUUCGAGUCCCGGCGAGGAUA
rnacentral:tRNA from 1 species